rnacentral:tRNA from 1 species
GGCAGCGCCGGCUCGGCGCGCUCGAGACCCGUCUCUAUCGCAGCCGGAUCGACGAGGACCGCGCCGCGCGGCCGGUGUUCGUCACCUCGCUGCCCC